CAUUGCUGCUUCCACCAACGCACUCUGUGCCAGGCAACGAGGGACUGAUUUAUUUACUUGCUGGAUUUGCCCAGCUCUUGUGUGAGAAAGGCAACUUCCUCUUAUAGACUAAAACCUUGGAGAAGUGAAGGAACUUGCCCAGCAACAAAUGGUGAAGCUGAUUUUUUUAAAACCUAGAUUGACUGAUGCCAGAGCUGCUUCUUACCACCUACAAAAAAUCAAGAGUAAAUCCUCAGGAGAGAGGAGCUGAUGGAAGAGGCAGAGAUGUGAGAAACUAAGAAUAUCCCUUCUCAUCCUCCUCCUCCACUCCUCCAUUCUCUUCUGGCUGACAUUCAUGGAACGUUGAACAAAUAUGAAUAUUCAACAUAUGACAGGCACUUUGUUCAUUCCCUUCAAAUUAUUUAGUUUCACCACCAAUGGACAAGGAGACAAAGAGUUUCAGAAGGUGAUUGCAAAGCUACCUCACUGCCCCGUCAUCCAUCCUAAAGAUUAGCAGAGACUAGAGCUGUGCGAGGGGCCGUGACAGACAAGGGGAGUGGUGCUACAGGAGGGCAGGCAGUCCUCACAACAAGGGAAGACGGCCUUCUGCAGAAGAAAGGAGCAGAAGGGAAGCUGUUUUCUGAAGGUGCUACCACCCAGCUACAACUGCAGGACUCGGCAUCUGCAGAGAGCAGUGCCAGAUACUUGAAGCCUUGUGAACCUGGCCGCGCAGCCAAGGCCUCCUCUCUGACCAAGUGGUCUUGGAACACAGCCUACUGUCAGAGACUAUGGGCAAGACUACCAUGGUCACAUCAUGAACGAAUUCCAGUUAUUCCAGGACGGCUGCAUGCUUUCCGAAAUGGAAGGUGUACAGAAAAGUUUGUGAAGAUAAUACCAGGGUUUCUAGCACCUCCACACUGUGUCUAACCUCUGAGUCCAGACUCAUAUCUCCUCCAAGGGAAGCUGUUACUUCUUAGAAGAAAACAGAUCAGUCCUGUCACCGUUCAAUGAGCUCUCCAAUUGUGUAACAUCAUAACGUGUAAAAGCCAGCACUGCUAACGAUACCUUAAGGUAGAUGAAAAGGCCCUUCAUCUCCUCCGAUGUUUAUAAAGCCGCUGGGCAUCUUCAAACAUUUCAUCGUGAACUACAACUUGAACACCAGACCUCUGGAAAACCAUACACCUAUAUGUGUAGACUUGUAGUCCCAAAAACUGGGAUACCAUUUGUUCCUCCUUACUGAGGCCACAGAUUUGGCUUGUGCCUGACCACAGUCCUUCACUGACCCUGAAAACCAUCGUGGAUGUCGUCAAUCCUGAGGCCCACAUGCAGGCCUAGUCAUGCGUCUGUGCUCCCAGGAGACCUUCAGAGAAGAGGCAGUCUCAUCAGUUGUCACUUCCUCCACUGCAACCACUCCGGCCCGGCUACCGUGAUCUCUUGCUUGGGUUGUGGCCACAGCCUCCUUACUGGUCUCCCUGCCUCUGCCACGGGCCUUCACCACAGGCAGAAUGUUCCUUGGUUAAUGUGACAUAUUAAAUCAUUUUCUCAGAA